rnacentral:rRNA from 1 species
AACGAACGCUGGCGGCAUGCCUAACACAUGCAAGUCGAACGAGACCUUCGGGUCUAGUGACGCACGGGUGCGUAACGCGUGGAACCUGCCCUUUGGGUUGGAAUAACUCCCCGGAAGGGGUGCUAAUACCGGGUAAAGUCUUCGGACCAAAGAUUUAUCGCCUUUGGAUGGGCCCGCGUUGGAUUAGCUAGUUGGUAGGGUAAAAGCCUACCAAGGCGACGAUCCAUAGCUGGUCUGAGAGGAUGAUCAGCCACACUGGGACUGAGACACGGCCCAGACUCCUACGGGAGGCAGCAGUGGGGAAUAUUGGACAAUGGGCGAAAGCCUGAUCCAGCAAUGCCGCGUGAGUGAUGAAGGCCUUAGGGUUGUAAAGCUCUUUUACCCGGGAUGAUAAUGACAGUACCGGGAGAAUAAGCUCCGGCUAACUCCGUG